CCUACGGGAGGCAGCAGUGAGGAAUAUUGGUCAAUGGGCGAAAGCCUGAUGGAGCAACGCCGCGUGCAGGAUGAAGGCCUUCGGGUUGUAAACUGCUUUUAUAAGCGAGAAAUAUGAUGGUAACUUAUGAAUAAGGAUCGGCUAACUACGUGCCAGCAGCCGCGGUCAUACGUAGGAUCCGAGCAUUAUCCGGAGUGACUGGGUGUAAAGGGUUGCGUAGGUGGCAUAAUAAGUAGCUAGUGAAAUCUGGUGGCUCAACCAUUCAGACUAUUAGCUAAACUGUUAAGCUCGAGACCGUUAGGGGUAACUGGAAUUUGUAGUGUAGGAGUGAAAUCCGUAGAUAUUAGAAGGAACACCAAUAGCGUAGGCAGGUUGCUGGGACGGUUCUGACACUAAGGCACGAAAGCGUAGGGAGCAAACGGGAUUAGAUACCCUUGUAGUC
rnacentral:rRNA from 1 species